rnacentral:rRNA from 1 species
UACGUAGGGUGCGAGCGUUGUCCGGAAUUACUGGGCGUAAAGGGUGCGUAGGUGGUUUCUUAAGUCAGAGGUGAAAGCCCACGGCUCAACCGUGGAAGGUCAUUGGAAACUGGGGAACUUGAGUGCAGGAGAGGAGAGUGGAAUUCCCGGUGUAGCGGUGGAAUGCGCAGAUAUCGGGAAGAACACCGACGGCGAAGGCAGCCUCCUGGGCCUCGACGGACGCUGAGGCGCGAAAGCCGGGGGAGCGAACAGGAUUAGAUACCCCCGUAGUCCCUGAGCGGGCUGG